rnacentral:rRNA from 1 species
GACGAACGCUGGCGGCGUGCCUAAUACAUGCAAGUCGAACGCAUUUUCUUUCACCGUAGCUUGCUACACCGAAAGAAAAUGAGUGGCGAACGGGUGAGUAACACGUGGGUAACCUGCCCAUCAGCGGGGGAUAACACUUGGAAACAGGUGCUAAUACCGCAUAAUUCCAUUUACCGCAUGGUAGAUGGGUGAAAGGCGCUUUUGCGUCACUGAUGGAUGGACCCGCGGUGCAUUAGCUAGUUGGUGGGGUAACGGCCUACCAAGGCUGCGAUGCAUAGCCGGGCUGGGAGGGGGAGCGGCCGCGGGGGGAGGGGGACGCGGGCCGGACUGGUACGGGAGGCAGCAGUAGGGAAUCGUCGGCGAGAGACGCAAGGCUGAGCGAGCAACGCCGCGUGAGUGAAGAAGGUUGUCGGAUCGUAAAACUCUGUUGUUAGAGAAGAACAAGGAUGAGAGUGGAAAGUUCAUCCCUUGACGGUAUCUAACCAGAAAGCCACGGCUAACUACGUG